rfam:Taeniopygia guttata chromosome 1A, whole genome shotgun sequence.
ACAAAGGCUCUUUUCAGAGCCACCCACAUUCCUCAUAAAGGGUUG